CACUCCUGCGGGAGGCAGCAGUGGGGAAUUUUGGACAAUGGGCGAAAGCCUGAUCCAGCAAUGCCGCGUGAGUGAAGAAGGCCUUCGGGUUGUAAAGCUCUUUUGUCAGGGAAGAAACGGUGAAAGCUAAUAUCUUUUGCUAAUGACGGUACCUGAAGAAUAAGCACCGGCUAACUACGUGCCAGCAGCCGCGGUAAUACGUAGGGUGCAAGCGUUAAUCGGAAUUACUGGGCGUAAAGCGUGCGCAGGCGGUUUUGUAAGUCUGAUGUGAAAUCCCCGGGCUCAACCUGGGAAUUGCAUUGGAGACUGCAAGGCUAGAAUCUGGCAGAGGGGGGUAGAAUUCCACGUGUAGCAGUGAAAUGCGUAGAUAUGUGGAGGAACACCGAUGGCGAAGGCAGCCCCCUGGGUCAAGAUUGACGCUCAUGCACGAAAGCGUGGGGAGCAAACAGGAUUAGAAACCCGGGUAGUCC
rnacentral:rRNA from 1 species